rnacentral:rRNA from 1 species
AAUUGGAGGGCAAGUCUGGUGCCAGCAGCCACAGUAAUUCCAUCUCCAAUAGCGUAUAUUAAAGUUGUUGCAGUUAAAAAGCUCGUAGUUGAAUUUCAGAAUCUGUCCGUUGAUCGGGCUUCACUGUCCGUACUGGUGUGAUGGGUUUCUACCUUCUGAAUAACCGGCAUGUCAUUAAUUUGGUGCGCCGGGGAAGCAGAACUAUUACCUUGAAAAAAUUAGAGUGCUUAAAGCAGGCUAUCGCCUGAAUAGAUUAGCAUGGAAUAAUAAAAUAGGACGGCAUGGUUCUAUUUUGUUGGUUUCUAGGAUCACCGUAAUGAUUAAUAGGGAUAGUUGGGGGCAUUAGUAUUCAAUUGUCAGAGGUGAAGUUCUUGGAUUUAUUGAAGACUAACUUCUGCGAAAGCAUUUGCCAAGGAUGUUUUCAUUAAUCAAGAACGAAAGUUAGGGGAUCGAAGACGAUCAGAUACCGUCGUAGUCUUAACCAUAAACUAUGCCGACUAGGGAUCGGACGAUGUUAAUUUUUUAAUGACUCGUUCGGCGCCUUACGGGAAACCAAAGUGU